rnacentral:rRNA from 1 species
UACGUAGGGUGCAAGCGUUGUCCGGAAUUAUUGGGCGUAAAGAGCUCGUAGGCGGUUUGUCGCGUCGAAUGUGAAAUCCCGGGGCUCAACCCCGGGUCUGCAUUCGAUACGGGCAGACUAGAGUUCGGUAGGGGAGUCUGGAAUUCCUGGUGUAGCGGUGAAAUGCGUAGAUAUCAGGAGGAACACCGGCGGUGUAGACGGCUUUCUGGACCAUUACUGACGCUGAGAUACGAAAGCGUGGGUAGCAAACAGG